rnacentral:tRNA from 1 species
GGGGCCGUAGCUCAGUUGGGAGAGCGCAGCAAUCGCACUGCUGAGGUCAGGGGUUUCGAUUCCCCUCGGCUCCA